rnacentral:rRNA from 1 species
AUUGAACGCUGGCGGCAUGCCUUACACAUGCAAGUCGAACGGUAACAGGUCUUCGGUUGCUGGCGAGUGGCGAACGGGUGAGUAAUACAUCGGAACGUGCCCAGCCGUGGGGGAUAACGAGGCUAAAGCUUUGCUAAUACAGCAUACGAUCUAAGGAUGAAAGCAGGGGACCGCAAGGCCUUGCGCGUUUGGAGCGGCCGAUGGCGGAUUAGGUAGUUGGUGGGAUAAAAGCUUACGAAGCCGACGAUCUUUAGCUGAACUGAGAGGACGACCAGCCACACUGGGACUUAGACACGGCCCAUACUCCUACGGGAGGCAGCAGUGGGGAAUUUUCGACAAUGGUCGAAAGCCUUAUCCAGCAAUGCCGCGUGAAUGAUGAAGGCCUUCGGUUUGUAAACUUCUUUUGUACGGAAAGAAAAGGUUCUUACUAAUACCUCGGGUAAAUGACGGUACCGAAACAAUAAGCACCGGCUAACUACGUG